GUCUUACUCCGCCUUAAUUCUCCCCCCCGUUUUGGGGAAAACAGGGGGGAGCAAACACGAGUGGAUUUCCCUGGUAGUCCCCGCGUUAAAUCGAAAUUUAUUUCCCCUUUGGGGAGCCUUUCAAGGUAUUUUCCGCCCCCCCUUAUCCCAUUAAAUUGUCCACCAGGGGGGAAAGCCCGUCCCAAGGUUAAAUCCAAGGAAUUUUCCCUGGGGCCUCACAAACCGGGGGGGCGCGUGUUUUAUAUCCAAAAAUCCGGAAAAACCCUUCCCCAGCUCUUUAAUACCCAAUGAACUUUCUAGAGAUAGAUUGGUGCUUUUGGGAACAUUGAGACAGAAAUUGCAGGGUUGUCAUCAGCUCGUGUCGUGAGAUGUUGGGUUAAGUCCCGUAACGAGCGCAACCCUUGUCCUUAGUUACCAGCAGGUAAUGGUGGGCACUCUAAGGAGAAUGCCGGUGACAAACCGGAGGAAGGUGGGGAUGACGUCAAGUCAUCAUGGCCCUUACGGCCUGGGCUACACACGUGCUACAAUGGUCGGUACAGAGGGUUGCCAAGCCGCGAGGUGGAGCUAAUCCCAUAAAACCGAUCGUAGUCCGGAUCGCAGUCUGCAACUCGACUGCGUGAAGUCGGAAUCGCUAGUAAUCGCGAAUCAGAAUGUCGCGGUGAAUACGUUCCCGGGCCUUGUACACACCGCCCGUCA
rnacentral:rRNA from 1 species